rnacentral:rRNA from 1 species
GCCUAAGACAUGCAAGUCGAACGAAGUGAACUAAUGAAGAUGGAGUGCUUGCACAAAGUCGGAUUAAAUUCACUAGUGGCAGACGGGUGAGUAACACGUGGGUAAUCUACCCCAAAGACUGGGACAACAGUUAGAAAUGACUGCUAAUACCGGAUAAUUCAUAUUUAGAUAACUAGAUAUGCUAAAGGAGCCUUUAAAGCUUCACUUUGGGAUGAGCUUGCGGCGCAUUAGUUAGUUGGUGGGGUAAUGGCCUACCAAGACUACGAUGCGUAUCCGAGCUGAGAGGCUGAACGGACACAUUGGGACUGAGACACGGCCCAAACUCCUACGGGAGACAGCAGUUAGGAAUAUUCGUCAAUGGGGGAAACCCUGAACGAGCAGUGCCGCGUGAGUGAUGAAAGGUCUUAUUGAUCGUAAAACUCUGUUGUAAGAGACGAAACCACAGUAUAGGAAAUGAUACUGUGCUGACGGUAUCUUACCAGAAAGCCCCGGCUAACUACGUGCCAGCCGCCGC